rnacentral:rRNA from 1 species
UACAGAGGUCGCAAGCGUUGUUCGGAUUCACUGGGCGUAAAGGGUGCGUAGGUGGCCCGGUAAGUCUGAUGUGAAAUCUCGGAGCUCAACUCCGAAACUGCAUUGGAUACUAUCUGGCUGGAGGGUCGGAGGGGGGACUGGAAUUCUCGGUGUAGCAGUGAAAUGCGUAGAUAUCGAGAGGAACACCAGUGGCGAAGGCGAGUCCCUGGACGACUCCUGACACUGAGGCACGAAAGCUAGGGGAGCAAACAGG